GUGUCCUACGGGGGGCAGCAGUGGGGGAUAUUGGACAAUGGGGGGAACCCUGAUGCAGCGACGCCGCGUGGGCGAUGGAGUAUUUCGGUAUGUAAAGCCCUAUCGGCAGGGAAGAAAAUGACAGUACCUGACUAAGAAGCCCCGGCUAACUACGUGCCAGCAGCCGCGGGAAUACGUAGGGGGCAAGCGUUAUCCGGAUUCACCGGGCGUAAAGGGAGCGCAGGCGGCACGGCAAGCCUGGUGUGAAAACCCGGGGCCCAACCCCGGGAGGGCAUUGGGAGCUGCCGCGCUAGAGUGC
rnacentral:rRNA from 1 species